AUUGAACGCUGGCGGCAGGCCUAACACAUGCAAGUCGAGCGGUAGAGAGGUGCUUGCAUCUCUUGAGAGCGGCGGACGGGUGAGUAAUGCCUAGGAAUCUGCCUAGUGGUGGGGGAUAACGUUCGGAAACGGACGCUAAUACCGCAUACGUCCUACGGGAGAAAGCGGGGGGAUCUUCGGACCUCGCGCCAUUAGAUGAGCCUAGGUCGGAUUAGCUAGUUGGUGAGGUAAUGGCUCACCAAGGCGACGAUCCGUAACUGGUCUGAGAGGAUGAUCAGUCACACUGGAACUGAGACACGGUCCAGACUCCUACGGGAGGCAGCAGUGGGGAAUAUUGGACAAUGGGCGAAAGCCUGAUCCAGCCAUGCCGCGUGUGUGAAGAAGUCUUCGGAUUGUAAAGCACUUUAAGUUGGGAGGAAGGGUAGU
rnacentral:rRNA from 1 species